UAGCUGCCACCUAGCCAGACACACUGCAUCAUGAGAUGAAACUGAAAAUAAACUACAUCUCCCAGCAGCCCUUGCUGCCGGGAGCUGUACUUUACUUUCAGUUUCAUCUCUGCAGCGUGCUGUGAUCAGCACAGCAGAGCCGCAUCAAGAGGGGGCAGAGGGUGCAAAUUACUAACCCCCCCCCCCCCUGCUCAGCCCACUGCCACUGACUUUAAUCAUUGCAGCAAGAAAUUCCGAGGUCCGAAAAGGGGGCUGGGCUAAACGGCACUGUGCCACCAUGCCAGCCAGCAACAGCAUGAGAGAGAGGAGAGGAGAGGAGCAGCACAGCCUAAACAGCAUCAGCAACUUCUUCCUCAGUAAUGGGAAGCACCAGGGCAACAGAACUGGAUGGAGCAACACAGGGAAGGUCACAUGAGGAAAGAUUCUGAAGGUUGUAAAAGGAGAUGCAUCAGAAUCGGAAGACAAUCUUGACGUGAUUCUGAAGAAAGUGACAUUGCCAGCGCAUCAUAUGAUGUGGAUUCGGAUGAAGAUGAUGAGUUAAUUGCAAAAUCAGGAAGAGUGUGGAGAUGUUCCGUGCCCCCGGUUACUCGCCGUCACCACUGUGACAUGUGCUAAGGACUGUAGCGAUGGCAACACAUGACUGUAUUGUUACUGUAUUAAAAUGAUAUAACCUUUUUACAAGAAUAUACAGUAUCCAAUCGGAUGUAAAAAUGUACACACUGUAAUGAAGAAUAUAUUGCUUUAUUGGCUAACUACUCUUGAAA